rnacentral:rRNA from 1 species
CCUGGUUGAUUCUGCCAUUAGUCAUAUGCUUGUCUCAAAGAUUAAGCCAUGCAUGUCUAAGUAUAAGCAACUUUGUACUGUGAAACUGCGAAUGGCUCAUUAAAUCAGUUAUAGUUUAUUUGAUGGUUUUUGCUACAUGGAUAACUGUGGUAAUUCUAGAGCUAAUACAUGCAUUCAAGCCCCGACUUCUGGAAGGGGUGUAUUUAUUAGAUAAAAAUCAACUUUGUUGGUGAAUCAUAAUAACUUCUCGGACCGCAUGGCCUCGUGCUGGCGGUGCUUCAUUCAAAUAUCUGCCCUAUCAACUGUCGAUGGUAGGAUAGAGGCCUACCAUGGUUGCAACGGGUAACGGGGAAUAAGGGUUCGAUUCCGGAGAGGGAGCCUGAGAAACGGCUACCACAUCCAAGGAAGGCAGCAGGCGCGCAAAUUACCCAAUCCCAACACGGGGAGGUAGUGACAAUAUGUAACAAUAUACGGCCUUAUACGUCGUAUAAUUGGAAUGAGUACAAUUUAAAUCCCUUAACGAGGAACAAUUGGAGGGCAAGUCUGGUGCCAGCAGCCGCGGUAAUUCCAGCUCCAAUAGCGUAUAUUAAAGUUGUUGCAGUUAAAAAGCUCGUAGUUGGACCUUGGACCUGGACAGGCGGUCCGCCUCACGGCGAGUACUGUCUUGCUGGGUCUUUCCUCUUGGUGAUCUGUUGUUUCGGCAGCAGGGAACCAGGACCUUUACUUUGAAAAAAUUAGAGUGUUCAAAGCAGGCUCGACGCCGGAAUAUAUUAGCAUGGAAUAAUAAAUAGGACGUGCGGUUCUAUUUUGUUGGUUUUUGGAAUCGCCGUAAUGAUUAAUAGGGACAGUCGGGGGCAUUAGUACUCACAUGCUAGAGGUGAAAUUCUUUGGAUUUGUGAAGACUAACUUCUGCGAAAGCAUUUGCCAAGGAU